rnacentral:tRNA from 1 species
UAAGCUUAUAGCUAAAAAAGUGUGUUAGUUACAGUAAUGAGAUAUUUAAAUAAAAUUGAGCUUAU